AGCCGCGCGGUGUGCACAAAGCGAACUAUUCUUUCGCCUUUUACUAAAGAAUACCGUGUGCCCGCCGCAAAGAGCGGCAUACGCCAAUUUUUGGAGGGCUUUGCCUUUAUAGGUG
rnacentral:snRNA from 1 species